CACGUGUGUGUGUUGUGCUUCUUGUUUUAUGCUAAUUACCACAUGGAGGGAAGUAAUUUUAGUUCCUUGAUGUUUGUACUCCCGAAUUUUUAGUGAAACAUUCGCGCCCAGCUGUGGUGGAAUCCGUUAAAUAAGUUCAAUUUCGGAAGAUUUACAGGCAACAAUGCCGAAUGAUACUCCGAUCAAAUUGGGACAAUCAAAAAACGUAUAUCUGUUCUCAUAUAGUCUUCGAUAGCUUAUAAAUAGCUUCAGUGAGUGAUUUAACGUGUGAUACAGUUAGAAUUUAGGGCUCAAACCCCUGCAGUGAAGCAGCAGUUACGAAUGAUACCCCUCAGGUUUUAAGCUCCGAUCAAGUUUCAACAACCGAACGUCGUUUUCCUGUUCUCGUGCAGCUUUCGAUAGCUUAUAAAAGCCUCAGUGAGUGAUUUAACGUGUGAUACAGUUAGAAUUUAGCGCUCAAAACCCUGCAGUCAAGCAGCAGUUACGAAUGAUACCCCUCAGGUUUUAAGCUCCGAUCAAGUUUCAACAACCGAACGACGUUUUCCUGUUCUCGUGCAGCUUUCGAUAGCUUAUAAAAGCCUCAGUGAGUGAUUUAACGUGUGAUACAGUUAGAAUUUAGCGCUCAAAACCCUGCAGUCAAGCAGCAGUUACGAAUGAUACCCCUCAGGUUUUAAGCUCCGAUCAAGUUUCAACAACCGAACGACGUUUUCCUGUUCUCGUGCAGCUUUCGAUAGCUUAUAAAAGCCUCAGUGAGUGAUUUAACGUGUGAUACAGUUAGAAUUUAGCGCUCAAAACCCUGCAGUCAAGCAGCAGUUACGAAUGAUACCCCUCAGGUUUUAAGCUCCGAUCAAGUUGCAACAACCGAACGUCGUUUUCCUGUUCUCGUGCAGCUUUCGAUAGCUUAUAAAAGCCUCAGUGAGUGAUUUAACGUGUGAUACAGUUAGAAUUUAGCGCUCAAAACCCUGCAGUGAAGCAGCAGUUACGAAUGAUACCCCUCAGGUUUUAAGCUCCGAUCAAGUUUCAACAACCGAACGACGUUUUCCUGUUCUCGUGCAGCUUUCGAUAGCUUAUAAAAGCCUCAGUGAGUGAUUUAACGUGUGAUACAGUUAGAAUUUAGCGCUCAAAACCCUGCAGUCAAGCAGCAGUUACGAAUGAUACCCCUCAGGUUUUAAGCUCCGAUCAAGUUUCAACAACCGAACGACGUUUUCCUGUUCUCGUGCAGCUUUCGAUAGCUUAUAAAAGCCUCAGUGAGUGAUUUAACGUGUGAUACAGUUAGAAUUUAGCGCUCAAAACCCUGCAGUGAAGCAGCAGUUACGAAUGAUACCCUUCAGGUUUUAAGCUCCGAUCAAGUUGCAACAACCGAACGUCGUUUUCCUGUUCUCGUGCAGCUUUCGAUAGCUUAUAAAAGCCUCAGUGAGUGAUUUAACGUGUGAUACAGUUAGAAUUUAGCGCUCAAAACCCUGCAGUCAAGCAGCAGUUACGAAUGAUACCCCUCAGGUUUUAAGCUCCGAUCAAGUUUCAACAACCGAACAACGUUUUCCUGUUCUCGUGCAGCUUUCGAUAGCUUAUAAAAGCCUCAGUGAGUGAUUUAACGUGUGAUACAGUUAGAAUUUAGCGCUCAAAACCCUGCAGUCAAGCAGCAGUUACGAAUGAUACCCCUCAGGUUUUAAGCUCCGAUCAAGUUGCAACAACCGAACGUCGUUUUCCUGUUCUCGUGCAGCUUUCGAUAGCUUAUAAAAGCCUCAGUGAGUGAUUUAACGUGUGAUACAGUUAGAAUUUAGCGCUCAAAACCCUGCAGUCAAGCAGCAGUUACGAAUGCUACCCCUCAGGUUUUAAGCUCCGACCAAGUUUCAACAACCGAACGACGUUUUCCUGUUCUCGUGCAGCUUUCGAUAGCUUAUAAAAGCCUCAGUGAGUGAUUUAACGUGUGAUACAGUUAGAAUUUAGCGCUCAAAACCCUGCAGUGAAGCAGCAGUUACGAAUGAUACCCCUCAGGUUUUAAGAGGGCAUACCAGCUCUCCGUCCCAAUGUAUUUCCUAUGGAACAGUUUUUAUGCUUUCUCUCGGUAACCGCCGCGCAGAUUUUGACGCGGGUGCUUUCAUCAUAAAGAGGAAGACGAGAUGAAGAGAAAUGCGCUACAGGAUUUCUCAUAUAUGUCGUAUGUAUUUUACGGCGACGUCACGAAUGCGAAAAAAAUACACAAUUUUUCUCCUCCCUCUUUGAAAAGGUUUUAUUAAACUUCUAUAGCCAUUUCGAAAAAAACUUUUCCAUUACUCUCUCUGGAAUUAUUUCAGGAAUCGAUAGACAUCAAAUUUAUAUGUCUACCACUUAUAGUUUUUAUAAAAAAGCAUGAAACGUGAGUACGCAAAAUCGCCCACUCAAAGCCCCGUGAACGGCGUCAUUCUGUGUUGCCAUCUGGUGACGCGACAGCAAAACCGCGCGGAACGUAUCCUUCCGCCGAGCAAGCAUGCGCGUGCGCACCUGACCGUCCUGUUGGCUCCUCUGUCCUCUUUACUUUCCCGGACCGCUGACUUAGGGCAUGACCUUGGAGACCAGAACAAAAGCUUACUUAGCUGCUCGUAAAGGGAUUAUUGCCUGAGCCUGAGGCAUUGUCGCCAACAACCAGAGACCAACAACUGUCUUCUUUUUUCGGUGCGCGUAUAGAGAAUUGAGAUGAGUUUAUUAGCUUCACAUGAAACAUCAAUUUGCCCGAUUUUGACGUUUCGGGUUUGUGCUUACUCAGUCAACUGUCUCAUAAGGCUAACGAGAAUCUGUCGUAUUUACGAUUAGUGGAAGGCCGACUUUACAAACAUUCCAUUGACGUUCAACAGGACUGCCCUGUAAUGUUCGUAAUGUUGAAACAGCGAUCAAGCGGAUUACACACAGAUAAAUGUUCCUCAGGAUAACUGCAUUUAGAACUGCAGCUCUCUUUGUUCUUCUCCUUCUUUUAUUGAUCGAUUUAUUUUUAUGUUUAUCUUAUUUCUUUUUUUUUUUGUCAACGCUCCACGUGAACCAAUAAGAAAAAUCGAUCAAGCGACUGCUGCACAAUUAUUUCCGCCCACGCAAUGGGCAACCGUCUUUUCCGGAACCCAAAUUCACGUUCGCGAAAAAAGGAAAACCAAUGACAAUUCUCGAUUGCUUCGAACGGUGAUAUGCCAUGUUUAAAAGUCAGACACGAACAGGUGUUUUUGAGACUUCGUGUUUGUGUCUGUCCCUUCGUGUUCCCUAGCCUCGGGGUUUUACAUCAUGCAUCAAAUUUCGCUAUCUGUCCAAGUCAUUUUAGCGAACGAGAUCCACAUUUUUGGCUCUUAGGCUUAGCGGGGCGGACGCGACGGAACAGCACGUUAGGUAGUUAAUUAAUUAUUAGGUUAGUAAAAGUUCGGUGUUUGCAUUUUCAUGUUCAUGUUGUUUAUUUUUCAACGGCGACUUCGAUCACGUUAUUUUGAGAUAUACGGCCAAUUUUUCGAUACCGGUUCCCUGGAUUUUCCAUCUUUCGACACUUCUUGCUGGUUGCGCGUUGGAUGACCCAAAACCUGUACCCGUCGUUCUUUGCACCGCAAACAAAGGGAAGCCUUCUGAGGAAGAUAAGGAACUCCGGGUCACUGGGGAUUCUCAACUGAACUAGUGACGAAACUAGUAACGAAAGGUCUGGUGUAAUGUGAAGUACCCUGUGAAAACCAAGGAGUGUCUAACAAUAUAGUACUGAAGUUUCCGGGUAAUAAUCAGUUCAUUAUGAGACGUAAUUUGUGCUCCGAGACCUCCUCGCGUACAUAAAGACGGAGUUCAAAGAGUUUUAGGAGCUUCCCUUCUCCUUUUCUUAUUUCUUUUUUUUCUAAAUAGCUGUUGCUAAAUGCAAUGCAUUUAUUUAGGCUGACUAAGUGUAAGUAUUGAGCCUAUCAAAAGGCCGAAAAUCAUAACGUCGAACUAUCAGAAGGCCGGAAGCCAAAAGACCAAAAAAUCAUAACGUCGAACUGUCAGAAGGCCGAAAAUAAGAAGGCUGAAAAUGGAAUGAAGCACAUCACAGCCGACCGAGUGUUAUCGUUCGCUUUGCGGAUUUGUUGAAAUUGGGAGACAUAGGGUUCUUUUUUCUUUUUUUCACGUGUUAAUGAAUAAUUAGAUCUACAUUCCAUUCAACGAACAACAUAAAAUGGAUAUAUAGUUCGCUGCAUUAGUUCGCUAGCGAUAUCGUUCGCUGGAUGCUAGUAUUUCUCUACUGUCGAUCAGACACAGGUUAUACAGUUGUCCUUACAUCUUUUUCUGUGCCUAUGUUUGUGGGUUAUAAAAGCUCUACGCCCACUUAUUCAGUUGUUUCACUGCCCUUACAACUCCGCUUCUGCUGAAAGUACGGUACAUCAGCAUAGAAAGUAUUAGAGAACAACUACAACAUCAUUGUCUGACCACCACCAACAACAAAAAAGAACUAUAUAUGAAAAUACUAGUAUUCCGGUCCGGUUGAGUUGGGAACUAAGUCUGACGAUACCCACGUUCAGCGAGCGUGAAGUCAGAGCCUCAGGAUAGUGGGCAUAUGCGUUUCAUUUCAUUGGUACGAAUACAGAAGGUCAUUGCGCUCAGUAUUCUGUAGCACUCCCCUUUAUAAAAGAACACGGCUACCAUUUUUCCAACAUAUCUGCCAGAAAUACGUAGAAGGUAGCAGAACCUUGGAAAAUCACCAGUGAUGAAUCACAUCGUGGCAUAGUCAAGAUUUAUUUGUUGACGGAGAAUCGCUUUCUAAUCUUACCGCGUUGUCUGUACUCAGCAAACUUUGCGAGAGAGGAACAGUAAUUUAAACAAGUACCACCCAAUUUAAACAAGUAAUGUGAUAGCGCUUGAUCGGCUAUGAUCCGUUUCCUCAGCUGUUCACAACGGCGCUCCUGUAAUUUCCGGGAUACGGAGAAAUCAUCCCAGAAGAAAUCGUCCCCGGUGGGAACUUUCAUUCAAUAUUAUUACUUCUACGGCUAUAUGUAGACCAUAUUGCCCAGUUGCAUCGAAUAGUAUUUUGUCGACGGAUAUAUGUAAACAAUAUUAUCAAUUUUUGAGCCAAUAUUCCUUGGUUGACGGCUAUAUGUAGACCAUAUUGCGCACUUUCAUCCAAUAUUAUUUGUUCUACGGCUAUACGAGUAUGUAGGUAAUAUUGCCCAGUUGCAUCGAGUAUUACGUAUUUGGUCGACGGCAAUAUGUAGACCAUAUUACCAGUUUUCAGCAAAUAUUCGUUGGUCGGUGGCUAUAUGUAGACCAUAUUCCCCGUUUUCAUCCAAUAUUGUUCGGUCGCUGGCAAUAUGUAGACCAUAUUUCCAACUUUCAUGGAAUAUUGUUUGACCGACGGCUAUAUGUAAACAAUAUUGCCAGUUUGCGGCCAAUAUUCCUUGGCUGACGGCUAUAUGUAGAUUAUAUUGCUCAUUUUCAUCCAAUAUUGUUCGUUCACCGUCCGUUGACAGUCCACCGUCCACAGUCCAUCGAAUCGUCCUCAUCACAUUAUAACCGAAAUUAUAUUCCGAAAUCCUAAGCUGUUAUUUGAAGAAAAGUAAUUGAUAACAGUACAAACAUGAGUAAGAAACAUCAUAAACAGCAUAACAGCAUUUGAUCGAACGCCAUUUGGUCGAACGCCGCUUGGUCGAAAGCCGUUUGAUCGCAAGCCGGUUGAUCGACGCCGUUUGUUCGAAAGAUGUUUCUUCGAAGGGAGUUCGAAGCUCGCAGCGUGUCCUUAGCACCUCUUUUUCUGUAACUUUUGACUCGAACAUAUGGAGCAGGCAAUCAGUGUCCUCUCCUUUUUUGUUUGUUUGUUUCUUGCUUCUUUUUUUUUCAGCUAAAGACCCCACUGGUUAUUUGCAGACCUUUGUCAUUCACGAACAGCACAGCCUUCUGGCUUUUUACUCUCUCCCAUCUGAAAAUAAAAUAAAAUUGAAUAGAACAAUGUGGAAGUAUCCCGCGAAAUUGUAACGGGACCCAUUACUUCAAUCCCCCGGCGAUGAACUCCCUACCCAUCAUCCUGAAAUAAAGUUGUUGUUGUAUCCCGCGAACCAGUGGGACACAUACCGAAGAAAAUGUCUUCACGAUCGUACGAUCGUAUGGUUUCUUUUUUUUUCCUUCUUUUUUUUGGGGGGGUAGCAGAAUUCGCUUGCACGAAUUCAACCUCCCCUUGUUAUUUAUUUAUGUAACCAACCAACAACAACAAAAUGUCUUCAAGUUGGGAGCAGCCAAUAGUCUGUGCUUCUUCUGGGCAUGGCACGAAAAACUGUCCGAAAACUGUCCGAACCGAAAUCGGGACCGAACUUUUUCUGUGCAUCACCGCGUGCUACCAAAAUGCACCCCAAAUUUCGGCCGAAGACUUCUGGCCUUGGGGAACAUCGCCUUUCAACAAUCCAGCUCAAUGAGAUAAUCCCUGUAUUCAUAGAAGUAGAAAUCGCACACACGGCAACAGUCGACCCGACUGCUACGUCAUCGUUGCUAUGGUUCUCCUUCCGGCUGAAUAGCCAUUGGAUGCUUCUCCUUUUUCGGUUGGCGUCACUUCCCAUUUCGGAGGAGAAAUCUGGCUUGGUCAGAUCGGGCCGGGAAGGGGGAGAGGGAACAUGGGGGAAAGGAUUACUGUAGUUUUCUGGUAAAGAAGUCUAUUCUGCGAUGAAAAUUUUGAAAAGUAUUUUGCACCAACGCCCUGUAAAUGAAGUCAAAUAUUUGAUAAUGCUUACUUACCAGAAAUAUACAUACCAAAAUGUCAUUUUUGCAUGAAUAAUAGAGUUAUUAUCAAGGUAAAUUGCGUGUAAGCGUGUGCAGAAAAAAAAAGAAAAAGGGAAUACUGUUUUGGAGCACUAGAUUUUCCUGACUGGCAUUGUAAGCGCUGUGUGUUUAUAGCCUAAUUUACAGCCGCCGGUACAUCCAGUUGAGAGCCUCCGUGAUACCGACAUCUCGGGCGAGCUUUGAUAGCAUAUGAGGUUACCUUUCCUUGGCCAUUUCCUGAUUUCUUAAUUGGCAAUCGCCUUGUGCUCAGACUCACUGCUGGCAACAUUCAUUUAUAAUACCAUCUGUGUGUGUGCCCAUAUUGCCAUCCAUACUAUCCGAUCACACCUAUACGUCGGCAUACACUAAGUAUGCACUAGUAAAACAAUACGAAGAGCAACUAAAAAUUACAUAAUAUCAGUCAGUACAGACAACAAACACAACAACAAACAACAAGAAAAUAAAAAUAAAGUACUCAUAUAGCAAUAGGAGACAAGCAAAAAGACGUGAAUGUCUCGAAUCGGACUGCAGACCUUUCGUGUCAAAGUCCGACACUUUACCUCUCGACAAACAGCGCAGAGGGUGCGGGCCGCCUUAAACUUGCGAGGUCAACCAUGCACAAUGGGGAUUAUUUCGUGAGUCGGAGGCGAACGGCGUGAUAAGGAUCGGCGAGCUUGGCGCCAUCUAGAAUCGGGAAAAUCGUGAAUCGGAGUUGCUCCCCGACUGGUAUGGCCUCUUAAGCUCCGAUCAAGUUGCAACAACCGAACGUCGUUUUCCUGUUCUCGUGCAGCUUUCGAUAGCUUAUAAAAGCCUCAGUGAGUGAUUUAACGUGUGAUACAGUUAGAAUUUAGCGCUCAAAACCCUGCAGUCAAGCAGCAGUUACGAAUGAUACCCCUCAGGUUUUAAGCUCCGAUCAAGUUUCAACAACCGAACGACGUUUUCCUGUUCUCGUGCAGCUUUCGAUAGCUUAUAAAAGCCUCAGUGAGUGAUUUAACGUGUGAUACAGUUAGAAUUUAGCGCUCAAAACCCUGCAGUCAAGCAGCAGUUACGAAUGAUACCCCUCAGGUUUUAAGCUCCGAUCAAGUUGCAACAACCGAACGUCGUUUUCCUGUUCUCGUGCAGCUUUCGAUAGCUUAUAAAAGCCUCAGUGAGUGAUUUAACGUGUGAUACAGUUAGAACUUAGCGCUCAAAACCCUGCAGUCAAGCAGCAGUUACGAAUGAUACCCCUCAGGUUUUAAGCUCCGAUCAAGUUUCAACAACCGAACGUCGUUUUCCUGUUCUCGUGCAGCUUUCGAUAGCUUAUAAAAGCCUCAGUGAGUGAUUUAACGUGUGAUACAGUUAGAAUUUAGCGCUCAAAACCCUGCAGUCAAGCAGCAGUUACGAAUGAUACCCCUCAGGUUUUAAGCUCCGAUCAAGUUUCAACAACCGAACGACGUUUUCCUGUUCUCGUGCAGCUUUCGAUAGCUUGUAAAAGCCUCAGUGAGUGAUUUAACGUGUGAUACAGUUAGAAUUUAGCGCUCAAAACCCUGCAGUCAAGCAGCAGUUACGAAUGAUACCCCUCAGGUUUUAAGCUCCGAUCAAGUUUCAACAACUGAACGACGUUUUCCUGUUCUCGUGCAGCUUUCGAUAGCUUGUAAAAGCCUCAGUGAGUGAUUUAACGUGUGAUACAGUUAGAAUUUAGCGCUCAAAACCCUGCAGUCAAGCAGCAGUUACGAAUGAUACCCCUCAGGUUUUAAGCUCCGAUCAAGUUUCAACAACCGAACGACGUUUUCCUGUUCUCGUGCAGCUUUCGAUAGCUUAUAAAAGCCUCAGUGAGUGAUUUAACGUGUGAUACAGUUAGAAUUUAGCGCUCAAAACCCUGCAGUCAAGCAGCAGUUACGAAUGAUACCCCUCAGGUUUUAAGCUCCGAUCAAGUUGCAACAACCGAACGUCGUUUUCCUGUUCUCGUGCAGCUUUCGAUAGCUUAUAAAAGCCUCAGUGAGUGAUUUAACGUGUGAUACAGUUAGAACUUAGCGCUCAAAACCCUGCAGUCAAGCAGCAGUUACGAAUGAUACCCCUCAGGUUUUAAGCUCCGAUCAAGUUUCAACAACCGAACGUCGUUUUCCUGUUCUCGUGCAGCUUUCGAUAGCUUAUAAAAGCCUCAGUGAGUGAUUUAACGUGUGAUACAGUUAGAAUUUAGCGCUCAAAACCCUGCAGUCAAGCAGCAGUUACGAAUGAUACCCCUCAGGUUUUAAGCUCCGAUCAAGUUUCAACAACCGAACGACGUUUUCCUGUUCUCGUGCAGCUUUCGAUAGCUUGUAAAAGCCUCAGUGAGUGAUUUAACGUGUGAUACAGUUAGAAUUUAGCGCUCAAAACCCUGCAGUCAAGCAGCAGUUACGAAUGAUACCCCUCAGGUUUUAAGCUCCGAUCAAGUUGCAACAACCAAACGACGUUUUCCUGUUCUCGUGCAGCUUUCGAUAGCUUAUAAAAGCCUCAGUGAGUGAUUUAACGUGUGAUACACUUAGAAUUUAGCGCCCAAACCCUGCAGUGAAGCAGCACUUACGAAUGAUACCCCUCAUGGUACAGUAUGAACAACAGAACACAGCUUUCCUGUCCUCAUAUAGCCUUCGAUAGCUUAUAAAAGCCACAGUGAGUGAUGGUAACAUCUGAUACAGUCAGAAUGUAAGGCUGAAAAAUCCGCAAUCAAGCAGCGGUGUCGAGUGAUACCGCUCAGGUUUUAAGCUCCGACCUGAUUUGAACAACCAAACACCGUUUUCCUGUCCUCGUAUGGCCUUUGGUAGCUUAGAAAUGCCACAGUGAGUGAUGCGAUGGUUUUCUUUUCAAAAAUUGUAGAGGAUUUUAUAAAUGACACUGCUGAAAUUUAAGGCUUGCAAAUGAUGAUUACGGAGAGUAAAAUGCUAUCCAGCAUGUUAAAAGCUACAAAUUUGAAGCUUUUUGUUGCCUAAAUACAUUUCACCCUGUUGUUUCCAGGUGGAACCCCUGUAGCUGACCAGAAAGGCCAGGACUGUCAGAUGCCAUACAUGAAUUGGUUCAAGGUCUUCAAACAGAGCUGACGCAGCAGAAGGCCUCUGGUGGCAUACUGUAAUCAAGUGCGCCACUCCCAUGGGAUUAUUGCAUUGGCCUUUUGCAUUCAUGCCUGAAUGCUGUCCAGGGCAUCUCACAGGCACCAGUUGCGUGACGAUGCCCCACCCCACGGAUUGUCUUAUGCCAGCAGCGUGCUCCCGUAGGGAACUAUGGACACUAGAAGAUGGACUGUGGACAUGCUAAGGAAUUCUUCAGUAGCUUAAUGGUGCACGGGAGAAGAAACAGCAGACCUGGACGAAGUAAACAAACGGCCCUUGUCAGGGCCACCAUAUGUCUGCCACAAUGGCUAGCGUUCUGCUGAUAGAACAAACCCUGAUGGUGAUAGAAGAUCACUGAACUAAUCAUAACUCAAGCACGAUGGCUACAACAGUGCUGAUAGAAAGCAAUCAUUGCAGUUGCAAAUGCCAUACAUUUCGUUAAGCACUAUAUUUUUGCUGACAGUAAUAUUUAGAGUUGAAGGAGUCAUGUUCUGCCACUUUUUGGAUGGUCAAAGUAUGCAUCACAGAACAUGUUGCUAAGGUGAACAUUAUGUGGAACCGACUAUAACUCCUGUUAUUCAUUCGCACAGAAAAUAUGAAGCAGAAAAUGUCGAGGCUGUUGCGAGAGACCUGUACUAUGUCUGUUCUAUGUCUUUUGCAAAAGCUAUCACUGUUUCUCGACAAAAGUGGCGUGGAGAAUGUACUGGAUGCCUCCAUUUCUCCCCUUUCUCUCCGUACUAUAAAGGUAGUUCUUUUUGUGUAGUCCAAUAAUACGAGAAUUUGAAAAAAGGUCUUUGGGUGUACUUGACAUAAGUGUAUGCCAGUCUAUAUCAUUGAACCCCCGUGGCACUGAGGACAAAACUUUACGAGACAGUAUGUUUGGGUCCGAAGAACGCCAUUGGAGCCACAGGGCACAUUGACUUUAGACCACAUCAUGGAGGGCCACAAGGAAAAGAAACGACUGUAGUUACCAUAAAACUUUGGUAUAUCAUACGUAACAUUGUACACACAAACAGGACUGACAUAGUUAUUGUGGAGUCGGAUAGUGGAUAACACAAAAAAUUAACGGGCUUACUAGGCUAACGCCAAUAAAUGGGUGGCCUUUCAAAUAGAGUGCUGAAAUUAUGAAAAACUAUUUGACCUUCACAAAGGUUUAGGAGAAUGUUCAGGAGCACUCCAAAUUAUCUAUUUACUUACUGUAUUGCUGCCUUAGCUCACAGUUGGAAAAAUAAGUAUGGAAAAUCAAAGAGAAAGAGCUAGCUGGCAUAUUCACGGUGGGUUAUGGCUUCAGGUUUGCUAUGUUGUGUUUAAUGAGAAGUGCAGAAAUUUGGGCCAGUUUGUACAUAACUGCAUAAGGGAAUAUGAGCAUACAGACGGGACAAUAGAGAGACAGAGCUGCUUACAACUAAACUAUAAUGAUAGGAAACCCGACGCAGUCAUGUGCGCAGGUGCAUUGGUAUCCCACCAUGUCAAAACAACGAAUACAGUGCUAGACAAAUGUUAGAGAACACGUUCCGGCGCAUUCCUUCCUUAGAGUGACAGUGAAUGGGACCGUACAGACUUAGACAUGUGCGUAUAGGUAGCCAAGUCACCUGUAUGCAAGUCCGUACGAUACCAUUCGUUGCCAGUUUGUCACUCGGAGGGAGGAGUGCGCCAGAGUAUGUUCCAUAAACUUUUGUCCAGCACUUUACAAGUAUAACACUGACUAACAAUGUAGAGUGGGCUAGUUGGUAUGACAUCUUAGACUAUGGAGCUACGGCAGACAACGACAACACACCACUCCACAAUCAACUGGUUUAUUUCUGGAAAAACAGAAAAGGAACUUUACACCUAGUGGUGAUCUUUUCCUGCUGUCCUUGUCUGCCAUAGCUCUGUAGUGAAGAAGUCUGUACAAGUAUGUCAGACAAGACCCUAAAAAUGACAUUUUUAGGCAUGUGCAAACAAAACCACAAUAGUGAUAAGGGGUGAGAAGUGAAAAAAAUUCCUAUGAUAUGAAUAAAAAUUCAAGUUCCUUAUCCAUCAGAAAAAUACAAUCUUCAGUAGCACAACUGGAAGAACCACUUAUUUAAGCCACUUCGACUACCUCUCUUUCGAACUGACAGUUUGCUUUUCUUUUUGGCCGAGUUCUCUCAAAAGCCGGCUUUUAAUGUCACUAUUUGAUUUAGUAUAAGAAUUAGGAUGGACAGAAGAUCGACUCAAUCCUCGCAUUAGCUACGGUGUGCUAGUGUACCAUCCGCACGCGAAUACCAGGUUGCCGUCUCCCUAAUUUUGUGAGGUUCGAGAGCCUGCUCGAACUGCUCGAGAACUGCUCGCAUGCAGUGUAUUCUACCUAACAUGGACAGCGCAGCAGCAGUACGGCGGGCCAGGCUGAAAACAAUGUCUGAAAAUCUGUUCUCCUAACUCGUCUUUAAAUUUUUAGAGAGGGUAGCUUCCUUCUCUUUGGCGGCCAAGAGGCCGCGUGUUUGAGAUCCCUAGCUGUAGAUAGGGCAAUCGCUUUCAAAACUAAACAACAAGGAUCAGAAAAGUAAAGCUGUCCUAUAUCUGCGCAGAAGCACCAUAGCUCAUGUACAAAGCAGGUUGGUUGGGUGGUGGUUGGUAAAACAACAAGAGGAUGCGCGAAUUCUGCCAUGGAUGCCUACCAUGGUAAUGAGGUACCCCAUGCAUCUUCUGCACCCCUCUACGCGAUAUUCUAUUCUAUAACACCAGUGUGCCUUACAACUGUAUCUGGCAGGUGUGUAUAUUGCAAAAAUACAAUCCAAAGGUUGAAAGUGCUGCUGCUGGUCGUGUGUGGCCUGUCUUACCAUCGUUUUGCCGCUAUUGGAAUAGAUAUGUAUACGUACCAACCUGCUCGACAGCUGUUAUUGUCAAAGGUUAUACACAUUACAAACGAGUAGGAAAUGGAAAUUCCUACUCGUUUAAGUAAUGCUGUCCGUGUCACUAUGGCUCAAUGUAUGAAGCCGGUUUUCACCUUGUCUGAAAAUAAUUUUGCAAGCUGAAGAAAAAAUGUAGAAAUGGACUUGUAUACAUCGAAUUGAACUACAUAGACUAGCAUCGUUGCUUUGUUGUUUCGAGCAGCAGCUGCGGUUUGGAGUUUCCUCUCAACGCUGGGCCAAUAUUGCCCCGCAUUUAUAUGCCGGGGUUUGGGGGUUAAACGCCCCCCCCCCCCCCAAAAAAAAGUAAGUUUGGUUAGUGCAUUUGGAAGGGGGAGAUGAUAAUGAAAUCCUCCUCACCCAUGUAAAGUCCCCAUAGAACUCCUCUAUAAAUAUUUUUGGGCUAGGCCACUGCUUUGAGCCCAACGCAGUUUACGAACUGCCUUCGCAGGUGACAAUAUGAUGACGUCGGCCCAAGUUGCAGCGACUUGUGCCAACCAAAUACCGAUCUCCGGCAGAUUUUAGGCAAUUUUCACUUGGACUUUUUGUCUAGCUGGACACAAGGCUAUUGAAAGAUGUAACAUUUCCUUGAGUUUCAAGAACACAGAAGACGACGAGGACGAUACAAGACUCAAAUACGAACUAAAAAAAAUGUUAUAGAGUACAUCAGUUCUCUUGCACUAUAUUAAUUUGUUCAUACAUGAUCAUUGUUUUCAAUAUAGUAGUGUGGUAUUGCAGCGAAAUUGUAAAAGCUCCUCGUGACGUAUUGCACCCGGACUGUUUCCACACGCGUGUCAACUUGUAUUCUUCGAAACCUGAAGUAUGCCUCAUAUAUCCUCAGGUGGGCAAAAGUAGAGUCACUAAAUAAGCUUAUUUAGUGACUCUAGGCAAAAGCAAUCCACAGACCGACCGCUGUGGCGUCGCUCAUGAUCUUCGUUGUCUCACGACGUAAACUCCCAAUUAUAUAUCCUCAUAUAUAUUCUUGAUACCUUUAACUUUUUACUGCAGAACCGGUUCCGAAGCGUUGCGGGCCUGUACAUUAGAAGAAAAAAAAGAAAAAGCAAAAAACAAAAAAGAGCUAGGAAAGUGCACAGUUUGGUGGAAGAUGCCAGAAAACUGUAAUUGCGGGAAGAGAUUACAUAAGAAAUAAUUGUUGUACACGUAUAUUUUUCCUUUUAUUAAAUCGGUUGGACGUUCGG